rnacentral:rRNA from 1 species
AUACGUAGGUGGCAAGCGUUGUCCGGAAUUAUUGGGCGUAAAGCGCAUGUAGGCGGUGCCUUAGGUCUGUCGUGAAACUGCGGGGCCUCACCCCGUAUGGCGAUGGAAACUGUGGCACUUGAGUGCAGGAGAGGAAAGGGGAACUCCCAGUGUAGCGGUGAAACGCGUAGAUAUUGGGAAGAACACCGGUGGCGAAGGCGCCUUUCUGGACUGUGUCUGACGCUGAGAUGCGAAAGCCAGGGUUGCGAACGGGAUUAGAUACCCCGGUAGUCCUGGCCGUAAACGAUGGGUACUAGGUGUGGGAGGUAUCGACCCCUUCCGUGCCGGAGUUAACGCAAUAAGUACCCCGCCUGGGGAGUACGGCCGCAAGGUUGAAACUCAAAUGAAUUGGCGGGG